rnacentral:rRNA from 1 species
AGGAUGAACGCUGGCGGCGUGCUUAACACAUGCAAGUCGAACGAUGAAGGCUGGAGCUUGCUCUGGCUGGAUUAGUGGCGAACGGGUGAGUAACACGUGAGUAACCUGCCCCAGACUCUGGGAUAAGCGCUGGAAACGGCGUCUAAUACCGGAUACGAGCUUCCACCGCAUGGUGAGGAGCUAGGAAAGAAUUUCGGUCUGGGAUGGACUCGCGGCCUAUCAGCUUGUUGGUGAGGUAAUGGCUCACCAAGGCGACGACGGGUAGCCGGCCUGAGAGGGUGACCGGCCACACUGGGACCUGACGACACGGCCCAGACUCCGUACGGGAGCAGCAGUGGGGAAUAGUUGCACAAGUGGGACCGCGUAAGCCCGUAGGAUGGAC